rnacentral:rRNA from 1 species
CAGUCGCCACGGUAAUACAGAGGAUGCAAGCGUUAUCCGGAAUGAUUGGGCGUAAAGGGCUCGCAGGCGGUUUCUUAAGUCUGAUGUGAAAGCCCCCGGCUCAACCGGGGAGGGUCAUUGGAAACUGGGAAACUUGAGUGCAGAAGAGGAGAGUGGAAUUCCACGUGUAGCGGUGAAAUGCGUAGAGAUGUGGAGGAACACCAGUGGCGAAGGCGACUCUCUGGUCUGUAACUGACGCUGAGGAGCGAAAGCGUGGGGAGCGAACAGGAUUAGAUACCCCCGUAGUCCCUGUCUCUUAUAC